rnacentral:rRNA from 1 species
AUACGGAGGAUCCGAGCGUUAUCCGGAUUUAUUGGGUUUAAAGGGUGCGCAGGCGGCCAUUUAAGUCAGCGGUUAAAUCGUGGGGCUCAACCCCAUUCUGCCGUUGAUACUGGGUGGCUUGAUUGCGGUCGAGGUUGGCGGAAUUCGUUGUGUAGCGGUGAAAUGCAUAGAUAUGACGAAGAACACCGAUCGCGUAGGCAGCUGACCAGACCGCAAAUGACGCUCAUGCACGAAAGUGCGGGGAUCGAACAGGAUUAGAUACCCUGGUAGUUCGCACAGUAAACGAUGAAUACUUGUUUUCGGCGAUAUAAUGUCGGAGGCAAAGCGAAAGCGAUAAGUAUUCCACCUGGGGAGUACGCCGGCAACGGUGAAACUUAAAGGAAUUGGCGGGG